ACGUAGGUGGCGAGCGUUAUCCGGAAUUACUGGGUGUAAAGGGUGCGUAGGCGGGAUUGCAAGUCUGAUGUGAAAUACCGAGGCUCAACUUCGGGGCUGCAUUGGAAACUGUGAUUCUUGAGUGAAGUAGAGGCAAGCGGAAUUCCCAGUGUAGCGGUAAAAUGCGUAGAUAUUGGGAGGAACACCAGUGGCGAAGGCGGCUUGCUGGGCUUUAACUGACGCUGAUGCACGAAAGCAUGGGGAGCAAACAG
rnacentral:rRNA from 1 species